GGUUUUUUUUCUGCUCCAUGUUUUGACCGAAAUGUACUAUUUUUGGCCUUUACGUGAUCUUUGUUAUAUUACGGGACACAAAAUUAUAUGUUCGGACAUUGUUUUCGAAUAUUUUUGCAUGCAUCAAAACUCUUAUAAGCAAGAUAGGGUAUUCCUACAUAGCUGGUGGGACCUACCGCAAAUGGAUCAUAAAGUCUUCAAAAAAGAAUAUAUAUAAUUGCAUUGCAUGUAGUAACGAAUGCGAUCCUACCAGCACUAAUGCACUUGAUCCUAUCAGAACACCGCAGUUAAGCGUGCUUGGGCUAGAGUAGUACUAGGAUGGGUGACCUUCCGGAAAGUCCUCGUGUUGCAUCCCUCUUUGUUUUCGGUU
rnacentral:rRNA from 1 species